UUAAAUCUUGCUAUUUGUUUUAUUUGUCCCAUCUUAGUUCAAUUUCCACUUCUUUUCUGCUUUCUGAUGGAUUGAUCAAGUAUGUUUUAGUAUUCUGUUUUAUUACCAUUCUUAGCUUACUAAUUGUGUCUUUUGUAAUUUUUAAAAUGUUCUUUCUAGGAUUUAUAAUAUAUAUUUUUAACUUGUCGUAGUCUACACUCACAUAAUGUUAUAGCAUCUCACAAAUAAUGUGAGAGCCUCCUUACAGCAGUAUGUUUUCAUUUCUCCCUCCCAUCCUCUGUAUUGGUGUUGUUAUGUUUUACAUCUGCAUAUGUUUUAGGGCUGGGCAUGGUGGUUCAUACCUAUAAUCCCAGCACUUUGGGAGGCCAAGGCUGGAGAAUUCUUGAGCCCAGGCAUUCGAGACCAGCCUAGCAACAUAGUGAGACCCUGUCUGUACAAAAAAAUAAAAAAUCAGCCAAAAAGGGUGGUAUGCACCUGUAGUCCCAUCUUCUUGGGAGGUGGGAGAAUCACAUGAGCAUGGGAGGUUGAGGCUGCAGUGAGCCAUGAUCAUGCCACUGCACUCCAGCUUGAGCAACACAGUGAGACCCUGUCUCUAAAGAAAAGAAAAAGAAAGAAAAUAUAUGCAAAAUCCACUAUAAACACUAUGAAACUAUAGAGCAUAGUCAAGCAGUUUGAAAAGAACCAAAUGGAAGUUCUAAAAGGAAAGUUUUAAUUUAGUUCAAAUUUCAUUGAAUUUUAAUUUCAACUAAAUUAAAAACUUAGUAUGCAGCUUUAACAGAAGAUUUAAAUAACCGAAGAGAGACUUCAUGAGCUAAAAGAUAAAUAUGAAUAAAGUAUACCGAAUGCUGCCUGGAAAGACACAGAUAUGGAAAACCUGGAAGGAGGGUUAAGAGACAUAAAGGCUAGAAUAGGAAAAUCCAACAUGAGCCUAGUUAGAGUGCCUGAAGGAGAAGAGAUGGGAGGGAGCGGAGGAAAUCUUUGAAGAGAGAAUGGCUAUGAAAUUUCUAAACUAAUGAAAGUAAUGUAAUUGAGAAAUUCAUAUAAAUUUAUAUAAUUGAGAACCUCAGGCAGAAAAAAAUACAAAGUAAACCCACACCUAGAUAUGCCACAUUGAAACUUCAGAACACCAAGGGCCGGGAGCGGUGGCUCACGCCUGUAAUCCCAGCACUUUGGGAGGUUGAGGCAGGCAGAUCAUGAGGUCAGGAGAUCAAGACCACGCUGGCUAACAUGGUGAAACCCCAUCUCUACUAAAAACACAAAAAAAUAGCCUGGCAUGGUGGUGGGCGCCUGUAGUCCCAGCUACUUGGGAGGCUGAGGCAGGAGAAUGCGGGAGGCAGAGCUUGCAGUGAGCUGAGAUUGUGUUACUGCACUCCAGCCUGGGAGACAGUGAGACUCCGUCUAAAAAAAAAGAAAAAAA
rnacentral:lncRNA from 1 species